AAAGGGAUAUCAACCCCCCUGCACCCCAACAUCCGUCCUUCUCUGCUUACUUUCUGUUUGUCAUCAGAUCAACAGUUUUUCUCUGUCAUCACGUUACCAUCGUUCACAGCCAUGUGGAACACGUGACCGUGGGCUCCGAAAAUGACUGCCCGCAGAAUCUCAGUGACAGGGUUUGAAGAGCUUCUGGAGUGGAGAACACAUCUACCCUGGAAGAGGCUGGCUCAUCCCAAGCCCACAGGGCGCCCCUUCCUAGUGCCCCCUCAACUGGCUGCUCAUUUGCACACUGUAUGACAGACUGUAUAGUGUUAAGUGAAAAUUGCAGGUCAUCAUGGACCAGGUUCCUAAGCCACACUAAACAGAAACUAGACUGGUAUCUGACAUUCCAAGAAAUCAGGAGAAAGAUAACAGCUGGAUUUCCCCAGAGGCAGCUUCAGCUGGCACAAUACUGGUUCUCCUUCAGCCUUAAUCCUGGUUCUCUCUCAGCCUUAGUCCUUCUCCAAAAUAGACUCCAGAAGCAAGGGCCUGUUCUCACCACAAGCCAGCACGACUGCUGAGAUGCAGUUGGAGGUAGGACCUGGUAUGAACUGAAGCCCCAAGACAUAUUUCAAUAGCCCAUCAGACUUCCCUCAUGAAAUGUCUAUUCCAAAAAUAAAAUAAAAUUGGAAAUGUGUGAGCACAGCUUGUACACUCAAGGACGCUGUGGUAGUUUAAGUUUAGUUGGCCCUCAAAAUCUCAUAGGGAGUGGUACUAUUAGGAGAGGCGGCUUUG